UUUGCCUCACAAAAAAAAUACAAACCGCGCGAAAAUUCAAAUUUUUGCUCUUUUGACAGCGCUGAGAAACCUUCAAAUAGUGACGAGAAGACCAGACGUAUCCCUUCGUGACAAGCUGCCACUUGUUCUUUUCAGCUCGAGCCUUUUUUGGGAGCUACUCUGGUACAUCGUCCACACUGCUGCCAAGUCUCCACUUCCCAAAAUGGAUGGAAGUGACGAAUAUGGAGGACGCUAUCCUUGAACCCGUGGACAGAAGAGGAAGAGCGACGACUUGGGUGCGGCUGCGAAGUCUGCCUGCCCAACGCCAAUUGCUCCUCACCCAAAAAGUAAACAAAUUAUAUAGCAGGAGUGGUUUCAAGUGGUUUCAAUGCAUUGUGUUUUUGGGAUGUUGGUGUGUACUUAUGCAGUCCUAGCGUGUUGAGCAAUAGCAAAGCACUGCAACUAUGCACCACCCCCCGUGGUACUUCACAACCGAGUUAGCCGCUUGAUCCAUGGUGCGGCGAGCAACCUCCAUGUGCAUAGGGUUGCUCGGAGCUGUGGCUGCUGACGCAGGCUUCCUAUUCAUAGUGAAAUCAAGAAGAAGGGCAAAUAGUGCACCGGACACUCUGACACCUGUACAAAACACCAAUCCACGCACACACACACACACACACAAACACGCACUGUCUAUGAAAAAAAAAACACUUCAAAGUACAAUUUGGUACAAUAAAUCUCUACAGCGCAAUAGGAACAGAAAAUGACCAGUAUGAUGAUGACAUUACCUGUACUUGCAGAACUGGUGUCUAGCUCUUGGAAAAUGGUUGACGAAUUGCGAAGUAAAUCAGUCCACACAUUUGAGACAUUCGUGCACUCUCCUCUCCUUAAUUUUCCUAAGGCCUUGUUCUUGAAAAACAACGUCUGCUGCUGCUCACAAUUUA